UACGGGGGGGGCAAGCGUUGUUCGGAAUUACUGGGCGUAAAGGGCUCGUAGGUGGCCAACUAAGUCAGACGUGAAAUCCCUCGGCUUAACCGGGGAACUGCGUCUGAUACUGGAUGGCUUGAGUUUGGGAGAGGGACGCGGAAUUCCAGGUGUAGCGGUGAAAUGCGUAGAUAUCUGGAGGAACACCGGUGGCGAAGGCGGCGUCCUGGACCAACACUGACACUGAG
rnacentral:rRNA from 1 species